GCUAAAUUUAGUGCAGCCUUGUUACUUUUAGUUUUCUCCUUUUGUAUGUAAGGAGUCUUCUUUUAUCUUGGCGGCAGAAACUU
rfam:Capsella rubella cultivar Monte Gargano unplaced genomic scaffold scaffold_2, whole genome shotgun sequence.